UACGGGGGGGGCAAGCGUUGUUCGGAAUUACUGGGCGUAAAGGGCGCGUAGGCGGCCUGCUAAGUCACACGUGAAAUCCCUCGGCUCAACCGGGGAACUGCGUGUGAUACUGGCGGGCUUGAAUUCGGGAGAGGGAUGUGGAAUUCCAGGUGUAGCGGUGAAAUGCGUAGAUAUCAGGAGGAACACCGAUGGCGAAGGCAGGUCUCUGGGCUGACACUGACGCUCAUGCACGAAAGCGUGGGGAGCAAACAGG
rnacentral:rRNA from 1 species